UACGUAGGGGGCCAGCGUUGCUCGGAAUUACUGGGCGUAAAGGGUUCGUAGGUGGUGCGGCAAGUUGGGAGUGAAAUCUCUGGGCUUAACUCAGAGGCUGCUUUCAAAACUGCCGUGCUCGAGUGCGAGAGAGGUCAGUGGAAUUGCAGGUGUAGCGGUGAAAUGCGUAGAUAUCUGCAGGAACACCCGUGGCGAAGGCGGCUGACUGGAUCGCAACUGACACUGAGGAACGAAAGCUAGGGGAGUAAACAGG
rnacentral:rRNA from 1 species